rnacentral:lncRNA from 1 species
UUUUUUUUUAGGUGUGGCCUCAGGCAUAGAUAAAUCUUUUAAAUCUAUUGUAUAUGAAGCUUCUCCAAUUGUACAUAUAGCUUUAUGGUGUAAAUAUUUUUCUGAAUUAGGCAAAAACUGGCAAUUUUACCUGAAAAUUAACUGUGAGGUAUAUCUGUAUAUAAAGGAAAUCUCGUCCCUUCACAAUAUGUUAGUUUACAUCCCCUUGGAUAAUGUAGACUCACAUCUGUAGCAUGCGUAAAAAGUGAAACUUACCUUAGAUUCAUACUGUUCUCUUGACAUCAUUUGAGACAGUGCGGUCUCUCCUUUCCUUUUCUUUAUAGACUUUUAUUUUCACUUAAUUUCAGUGACAUUGAAUACUAAAGCUUUUGUUCCUGUCACUCUGAACUACCUGGUAAGCAUCUUGUUUGUCUUUUUUUUCACUCUUCAUACUGCUCAGAGGAAGUUUGUCAAUUCCCAUAGCUUUAUCCACUCUUUGCUAGUGAUUCUCCAAUGUUCUCAUUCUGUAGAAAUUUCCUGGUCAUCUUUGACUCUGAUAUGGACAUAUCCUGUCCAUUCCAUGUCAUAAAUACUCUUUAUACACCCCUUCUGACCCCACUGCUGCUACCACCAUGGACUGUGCCAUUAUUACCACUCUGUAGAUUGUUGAAGUCAACUUCUUCUUCUUUUAUUUUUCUCAACCACACCCAUGGCAUGUGGAACAUCCUGGGCCAGGGAUGGCACCCAUGCCACAGCAGCGGCCCAAUCCACUCAGUGACAACGCUGAAUCGUUAACCCGCUGCACCACAAGAACUCCUUGAAGUCAACUUUUUUUUUUUAAUCUUUUUAGGGCCACACAUGUGGCAUAUGGAGGUUCCUAGGCUAGGGGUCGAAUCAGAGCUGUAACCACCAGCCUACACUACAGCCGCAGCAAUGCGGGAUCCAAGCCAUGUCUAUGACCUACACCACGGCUCAUGGCAACGCCAGAUCCUUAACCCAUCAAGCAAGUCCAGGGAUGGAACCUGCAUCCUCAUGGAUGCUAGUCAGAUUCGUUUUCACUGAGCCACGACAGAAACUCUGAAAUUAACUUCUAAUUGACCCUUUACCCUGUCUCUCAUAUCUACUUUGCCAUGUAAACAGGUCUAAUACACAUAGCUGUAGCAUGCACCCUGCUUCUCCACAGCUUUAUUAAGAAGUCUCUGGACAUGUUUGCCAUAAACUUUUUUGGAGAGAAAACUCAAAUUCUCUGCCCCCAUCAAUAUGUACCCUUGAUUGAUGAGGGUAUACCUUUGGCCUCUUGUCUCCAUUCCUUUUCUUACCGUCUUUCAAAUUCCCAGAAUAUACUUCACCUCCCUUCUCUGAUUUCUAAGUUCUUACCCAUUUUUAAAGGCUAAGCAGAGAUUCUGUCAGAAUAACUUUUUAUCGUUACCUGGCUUUCUGCAGAACCAUAUGUAAACCUCUAUUAUGGAACUCAUCACAUUGUACUGGUAGUUUUUGUACCUGGCUGAUUAUGGAAGGCUGAGAGCUUCUUACAGGUAGAUGUGCCUAUUUCCAUAUGUCCUCAAUGCCAAAUACAGUGUCAGAAAUUAGCAGGUUCCCAGUGACUGUUUGAAUCACCAUUUUGUCAUAUUGAAAGGCAUAGAAAAAAAAAUAACUGUCUCAAAGGAGAAGAGACAGAUCCUAGAGGAUUAAAAGCUAUCAAACUUUAAUUUUUCUCACAGAAAUAUUACUUUCAUCAAAACAAAUGUCGUUAGCAGGAUACAGAGAGUAAAGUGGCAACCCUCUGGAAGGCAAGCUCAAUUUGGGGAGGUGGUCCUGCUGCCAUGUGGUGGGGAAGUGGGUUUGGUGAAGAGCUAACCAGACUGGAGAGAUGAUGACAGGAGCGAGAACAACACACAAGUAUUACUGACGUAGGAUGGUUUCUAAAUUGAGUCUUAUUAUCAAACUCUUUUUUUUAUUGAAAUUCAGACAUAUGGACUGCCCCUAGCUAACCGCUGGAUGAGAUCAAAACUCUUUGAAUUUAUACAUCUCCCUUCCCUGUGAUUAUAUAUAACUACAUAUAUAGUUAUAACUAUAUAUAACUGUGAUUAUUAUAUAUAUAUUCCCUGUGAUUAUAUAUAUGUAUGUAUAUGUAUAAGAGGACAUGUGCAUCCCCCUAUCUCUUCUUUAUACAGCAUUUCUUGUUCACAGUCUUUAUCUUGAUUAACAAAUGUGCACGGGGUGUGGAGGGAGUAAGAUUGGAAACAUCACCUGAUAAGAACAACUUUCUUGAGGUUUUUAAAUGCUUUUUGUUCUCAGGUGCAAGCCUAUUCUACAUUGGCUAGAGAAAGUAGUGCUAGUGAUACUGUCAGGCAAAUUUCAAAACCUCAGUGGUUGGGCACACUGGCGUCUAUUUCUUACCCAUGUAAAUUUUGAGUGGCAGUGAGUAAAGGUGGGACGAGUGUGUGGCGGGUGUGUGGGAGGGUCCAUGUGUAAAGUGUGUGUAGGAAUCAUUCAGAAAUCCAAGCUGACAGACUCUACUUUCCUUUUUUUAAAUUCCUUAAUGAAUUUUAUUACAUUUAAACGUUUACAACAAUCAUCACAACCAAAUUUUACAGCAUUUCCAUCCCAAACCCUCACUGCAUUCCCAACCCCCCAACCUGUGUCCUUUGGGAACCAUAAGUUUGACAAACUCUACUUUCUUUAUCAAGGGGACAAUUCUGAUUCUGAUACAGUCUGUGAAAUGAAUUCUAGCCACAUGCCCUGGAGAAAAGUGUCUAGAUUAUUGAACACAUAGUCUCUGCUCACUAGAUACAAAUGAUGCCACCCAGAGGUACCAAGAAGAAAGUUUUAGCUGUUAUAUUUCUAUUCAGGCGCAUAUUUACAUGUGUGUAUAUGUACAUAUAAAGCAGCAAAGAAAUUCUGAUAGAAUAUUCUUAAAAGCAUAACAACAGUUGAUUACAUAAUUUUCAAACAUCUCCAUAUGACAUCAGUAGGCUGUGCCGUGGUAAAUUUAUUCUAUAGUUUGGAGGCAGUGACUUUAAGAUUACAUGUAUAUUGUUUUUGCUCACUUUUCUAAAAAAAGAGCUGUGAGAACUUUAAAUCACACUUGCCUAAGGAUUCAGAAGUAAAGAGAUUUGUGGGUGGAAGUGAUUUAUGUGUCACAUAAAUAAUAUUAUUUCUGUUUAGAGACAACUGGAAACAGUAUAAAAAAAGCAAUACAGACUUUCUGUUGAAUGCAUAUAGGAAACUUAUUGUGGGUAUGUGAACUGCUGGAGAAUUUCAGAGUAAAUGACAUAGAUUUUCCCGACAUGUACAGUUUAGGCUGUACUUACUUUGCAGAAAAAUUAAGUUAAAUUUCAAAAUAAAAAAGAUAUUUUUGCUAAGUCUAAUGAAUAAUGUGCUGUCAGACUCACUGACUUGUUUUUGUCUACAAAGUAUUGCAUAUAUACUAUCUUCACACCAACCUUAUAAUUGCUAAACCUCAAUCCUGAGCAAUUAACAAACUGUAGUAGGAAGAGCCAGCAUCCAAGUUUGUAGCUGAUAAAACAUAAGACCCAAAUUAUUUUGGGGGGGGGGGGUUAAGUAGUGGCAAGUGAGACCUUAGCUCUAAAAAUAAUUUUUUAGUGGGGUCUCAGUACUAAUUCCAUAGUAAGCUACUUUCCCACACAUCAUACACACAUAGUAUUAUAGGAUUUCAUGUUUGUUAUUUCAUCUUUGCAAUUGAUCAGCAGUAUGAUUCAGGGCUCAUGUCAGUGGCCCAGUGUCCUGUGUGCUCCAAAACUGAAAAAUGCUCUCCCUCUAAGGGAACUUCUCCAUGACUUUACUGUUUGUGAUUCUUGCUGCAUUUGAUACGUUGACUCCAAGUUAAAUUGUACCCCAAGUAGCACAGUAAUUGCAUCUGGUGCCUAGAGGGGUGAACAUCAAUUAGUUAAAGUGUUCAUAAAGGCUCCUAACUGACAUGCUACAUUAUUCUUGUAUGAGGAUUUCAAAUUGCUUUGGAGGUAUUUUCAAUAAUGUCAACAGGUGGCAAAACUUUUAAAGGAUUUUUCCACUUAUCUUUGCCACCAUUCCAUUAGAACCCUAGAUUGAUCAACAGUGUCUAACAAAGUCUAAUAUCAGCCUCUAUGGACUCAAAGUUGUAUUUCUUUCUUUUUCCUCUCUCUCGGUUUUUGCUGAAUUUGAUAACAUAAGGAUGUAGAAGAAAGAGCUUUAAUCACUUACAAGGAAGAGCUCAAAAAGUCAAAGUGAUUUACUGCAGCUUCUUACAUUUACAUGUACAUACAAAUCACUUGGGGAUUUUGUGAAAAUGCAUAUUGCGAUUCAGUAGGUCUGAGGAUCACGUUAGAUUCUGCAUUUCUAAUACAAUCCGAGGUUCUGCUCAUGUUGCAGGUCUAUGGAUCCAAACUUGAGUGACAAGGAGUGAUAUUUUACUGGUCCUCAAGGCAGAGGCUCACCCACAAGGAUAAGAUGUAUCCACACUUAUGUCUGAUUAGUAGAAUGUGGUCUAAUGUAUUGCUUAAAAAUAUAAAUGUUGUUGGCUAUCGCUAUGUCCACUAGCAUACUUAGAACUGCUCCAACUUAACCCUUGGGUAGGUAACAAAUUCCAGUGGGAAGAGGCAACAGUCCUGAGAAUCUGGCCUGAGGAGCCUUGCGUCUAAGUUCUGGAGAACAAAUGAAGCAAAUAAGAAAUUUGGCAUAAAACUUUGCUUUAUAGUUUUCUUAUUGCAGAGCCUGAAGGGAAUGUGAAUUAAUGUGAACAUUCCUGAUAUUUAACAGAGUAUCUGACACUUAUUUAUUUCUCAGAACUGUUGAAUGAAUAAAAGAGUGAAAGAACCUCUCAUUGUUAAGAGAUGUUGAUAACCAGUGGCCUCCAUGGGUUGGAAGAGGUUAACCUUCCUGCUAGACAUACUUUCCCCUAGAUACGUGUAUUAAAUGAAAGAUGUUCUCUCAUCAGCGACUAGACAUAGUUCUCAGUGCUGCACAGCAGGAUCUCAUUGCUCAUCCAUUCCAAAAGCAAUGGUUUGCAUCUAUUAACCCCAAGCUCCCAAUCCACCCUACUUCCUCCCCCUCCCCCUUGGCAACCCCAAGUCUGCUCUCCAUGUCCAUGAUUUUCUUUUCUGGGGAAAGGUUCAUUUGUGCCGUAUGUUAGAUUCCAGAUGUAAGUGAUAUCAUAUGGUAUUUGUCUUUCUCGUUCUGACUUACUGAAUACUACGAAAAAUUAAAGAACAAACAAAAAAUAAAGUAAAUAAAUAAAACAUGUUCUCUUUCCCCAGAUAACAUGAAUGGGCUUCUUGAAAGACUCUCACUACACAAAUGUAUUAGACAUGUGUGUUCAGGAAGUAAUGCAAGGACGAAAUCACCAAGUGGAAGGUAGAGUAAUUAGAGGUAACAAAUAGAGUAAGAUGGUGACAUAGAGGACUGGGCAAUAAGAGGAAAUUCCAGCUAGUCAAAAAAUAGGUACAAAGCGUUGUAUCUAACAUCCACUGUACAUGCUUCGUGUUAAAGGGUGAACGAAUAAAUAAACAGUUUUUAUUCACUUUAUCCCCACUCCCAAAUUGAAUUCAUGUUUUUAGGGAAGAAACGCAUUUGUUUUGCCACAGACGUAGCAGAAAAAUUUAACCCUGGGAAUAAUAUGUGUAGUGUCAUGUCUGCUGCCUCAGUGCUGAAUGUUAGAUAUGAAAAAGAUGUAGAAAAUAGGAAAAUUUUCCGCUUAUAGCAGCAUUUACCUAGAGCUAUACAAACUGAAUGUUAUGUUUCAUUACGACAGGUUCAAAUCACCUGAAUCUGAUAAAAGACAAUGAACUUUGAGAAACUCUUGGAUACCAGAACUUUACUUGAAUUAAAUGAAGGCUUUCCUGAACAAUGAGCAAUGGAAUUUGUUUUAAUUACCUGUGUUCAAACCAAUGAACUCAUUUAAGUCAUAUCUAGGUUUUCAAUCCUUAAUUAGCAUAACAACCAUGAACUCUAUUUAUUUAUUAAGUAUAGUUGAUUUGCAAUAUUGUAUCAGUUUCUGCUGUACAGCAAAGUGAUUAAGUUAUGCAUCCAUACUUUUUAAUAUUCUUUUCUGCUGUGGUUUAUCUCAGAAUAUUGACUAUAGUUACCAGUACUGUAGAGUAGGGCCUUGUUGUUUAUCCACUCUAUGUACAAUAGCUUUCAUCUUCUAAUGCCUAAAUCCUAGCCCAUCUCUCCCCACACCCCCCACCCCCGGUAAUCAAAAGUCGGUUCACUAUAUCUGGGAUUCUGUCUCUGUUUCACAGAUGGGCUCAUUUGUGUCAUACUGUAGAUUCAACAUAUAUGGUAUUCAGUUGGUAUUUGUCUUUCCGACUUAUUUUACUUAGUAUAAGAAUCUCUAACUGCAUCCAUGUUGCAGCAGAUGUCAUUAUCUUGUACUUUUUUAUAAAAUAUCCCAUUGCAUAUAUAUAUGUACCACAUCUUCUUUAUCCAUUCAUCUGUCAAUGGACAUUUAGGUUGUUUCCAUGUCUUGGCUAUUGUGAAUAGUGCUGCUAUGAAGAGGGGUGCAUGUAUUCUCUUUAAAUUAUAAUUUUGUCCAGAUAUAUGCCAGGAAUAGAACUAUGGUCAUUCUAUUUUUAAUUUUUUUAAGACCACACCCCUGGCUGCAUGUAGAAGUUGCUGGGCCAGGGGUUGAAUCCACACACAGCCACGGCAACAUCAGAUCUGAGCUGCAUCUGCAACCUGUGCCACAGUGUGUGGCAGUGCCAGAUCCUUAACUCACUGAGUGAGGCCAGGGGUUGAACCCCCAUCCCCAGGG